CGCCGCCGCUGCCAUCUACGCGCGCCGCGGCCGAGGCUGGAGUUUUAAACGGCGUUUCCCGGGCGCCCGGCGCGGGCCCACGCGAUCCCUAAUGGCCCCGGUGGCUGCCAAUCACGCGUCGCUCCCGCCCCCGCCCCGCCCCACCCUGCUGGUGCAGUGGAACCACUCUUGGCCUAGGACGCGAGGGUCCCACCGUCGGUGGGUCUGUGGGCCCGGCCAGCGUCCGUCAGCUUCUCCGAAUCUUCAUCUUUCGGUCUUCCAGUCCCGGGAUCUCUGCGUCUCUCGGUUCUGCAAAAGCCGCAGGCCAAUUCCUGGGACGAGGAGGGGUCUUGACAAACCUUUCCCUCAAAAGGCCGCACCCGCGACUGGGGGCUUAGCGCCAGAAUUAGUGGAGCUGGCAUGGGGGCGCUCUGGCUGACCCCCGCCCCCCACCGUCCCUCCAAGAUGGGUCCUGAGCUGCGCGCGCACACAGACACGCACUCUCCCUACGGGUCCCACACCACCGGCCGCCCUGCCGUCCCCGCGCCACCACAGCACCCUACAACCCGAAAUCAGCACUCGCCGCUCACGCACUCAGCCCAUACACAGGAUGGCGCUCCUAACCGCCGGCCUCCUGUCUGGCAAGCUGGAGGCCUCUUCGAGAGGCUGUGGAUGUGGGACUCAGCUUCCCACGCAGCACACGCACCUGUUUCAAGGGGGACAGACACCCGGUUCCUGGCCCACAUGGGGAAAAUCCUGGGCCUGGGGCCCUCGCAUUCCUGCCAGUGCCCUACUCCCUGCAGGCAGGACCGGCUCACAGGAAGAAGACGUUUGGGAGCCGCCUUUGGGGCCAGGUGGUGAAGGAGCCCAGCCUUCUGAAAGCUUGGCCACAGAGAAGACUGAGGAAGGAAGUGAUUCGGACUCAACUUUGAUGAAACCCAUGCCUCCCACCAGACUCCCUCCAACCAUGAUCACCCUGGAAUCCUGAUGCUUCAUCCCAGGCUCACAGAGCCUGACCCCACUUGCAGAGCCAGGAUCAAGGUUGAGUACAUAGAGGGUGCUCAAGUGGCUCUUAUCACCCAUCCUCUCCAAGCAUAGAGACAGCAAAAGACAGAAGGAAAGAAAGGAAAUGAACAAUGAGGAAAUCUGUAUCCAUUCAACAAGACUCCUAUGGGCCAAUGCCUCUGUUAGGCUCUGUAAA